rnacentral:rRNA from 1 species
GGGCCCGCACAAGCGGUGGAGUAUGUGGUUUAAUUCGAUGCAACGCGAAGAACCUUACCAGGGCUUGACAUCCUGCGAACCUCUGGGAAACCGGAGGGUGCCUUCGGGAGCGCAGUGACAGGUGGUGCAUGGCUGUCGUCAGCUCGUGUCGUGAGAUGUUGGGUUAAGUCCCGCAACGAGCGCAACCCACGUCUUUAGUUGCCAGCAUUUAGUUGGGCACUCUAGAGAGACCGCCGGUGAUAAACCGGAGGAAGGUGUGGAUGACGUCAAGUCAUCAUGCCCCUUACAUCCUGGGCUACACACGUACUACAAUGCUACGGACAAAGAGCAGCAAGUUCGCGAGGACAAGCAAAUCUCAUAAACCGUGGCUCAGUUCAGAUCGUAGGCUGCAACUCGCCUACGUGAAGGAGGAAUCGCUAG